AGGUUGGACUGGGAGGAAGAAAAAUGUGUGUGUGCCUCAUAAAAUACCGAGAACAAUUCAACUGUGUUUGAACUGACCUGGCUAGAACUCUGAGAAACUUAUGAUAGGACAGGGAGUACUUCUCAAGGUUUCCCUAAUCUCGGGGGAAUGGAACUGUUGGCUGGGUAGUGAUACACAGUGGUGUUGGAGGAAAUUAAUAAGGUCAGUAAUCUUUAUUCUUGAUUAAGGGGGAAUGACUUAAAUUAUCAUAGGGUGGAUUUAAGUUGUUCUCAGAUUGAAAGUCAACUCUACAAAUAGGCUAUGCUUGGAGCGACAUUUUAGUUCAAAGUCCUAUAGGAACAUCGAUUUACUGUAUAUUCCUACAGUGAUCACUGUAUACGGGUGAAAACUAGUGUCAGAUCGAGCGAUGAAUGGACGGGGGGGUCUUUCCCGGUUUUUAGUAGUCUGUGUUCUUGAUAGUGAAAAGUGAUUGUGUGGUUGAGGUUCCGGGGAAGAAAUGGAACAGGUGAUUUUAUACCAUCAGCUUUCAAGAAUAGACACUGCAGGAUUGGUUUUGGGACUGGCCUCGGUCCAUUUGUUUUCGGUCAACUUUACAAGUAGGCUAUGUUUGGAGCGACAUAGUUUAAGUCAAAAGACCUAUAGGAACAGUGAUUACUGUAUACGGGGGAGUUAAAUGUCAGAUUGAACAAUGUAUCCAGCGGAAAGACAGUACAAGUGACCCCAUAGAUAUAUAGUUCUUGAUAAUAGACACUGCAGGUUGGUGGUCUUUAUUUAGAUUAUGGGGAACAAUUGAGUUGCUUUUCCGUUGGUCAUUUUCAAUCAACUCUACAGAUUAAGCUAUAUUUGGGGCGACAUUUGAGUUCAAAGUCCUAUAGGAACAGUGAUUACUGUAUAUUCCUACAGUGAUCGCUGUAUACGGGUGAAAACUAGUGUCAGAUUGAACGAGGAGUGGACGGAGACUCUUGAGACUCUGUCUAUUUGUCCUCGGUCAACCCUACAAGUAGGCUGAUUUGGAGCUACAAUUUUAGCAGAAGUCCUAUAGGAACAGUAAUGUAUUGUAUACGGGUGAGAUUUAAUGUCAGACUUUAGUCGAUGAGGAUUCCAAUAAAGAGAUAUUAACCAUAAGGUGUUAAAUAUUGGAAUUACUAGGAGUGAGUAGAUAAGGAUUCCAAUAAAGAUAAAUUAACAUAAAGUGUUGAAGAUUGGAAUUAUUAGGAGGGGCAGGAAUUUAUUAUAAUGGGUAGUAAUCCCUCUAAACUGCUUUCUGAAGAGACGGAAGAUUACCGUUGUAUGAAACAAAAAGAUCGAAGGAAUGUAGAUUUCUGUCCUAAAUGGGAAAAAAGGUAUGGUUUUGACGGACGCCUAGAUGUCGAAAAGUUAGAAUCCCUUAUAAAACAGAUACAAAGGGAGCGAGAUUAAUGAGAAUCCUAAACUGAGGGAAAACGUUGUGCGUCUAAAUUGGGGCUAUUUUCUGUUGUCUAGAUGUCGGAGUAACAAAUACAGAUAACUGUAAAAAUGGUGAGCGCAGCAGUUUUACCAACGGCAAUCCACGGUUCGGUUCCCAGCCGAGGCGGUUAACUAAAACUGAUAUUAGAGUGAAAUUCACCUAUUUGCAUGUUUUGCCGGAAAAAUAUGGUCGCCAGUGUUUGUCUAAAUAUAACUGAACGUUUAUUAUGUGUUUUAGAUUGAAUAAAAAUAAAUAAAAAAGAAGGCAUUAAAAAUAAUGGCGAGACAAUUGAGGUAAUACGCUAUUUUGCCCAAAAUGAUCUGCGGGAAUAAUGUAUUGAGAUGGGAGUCGUAUUUAAAUAAAUGUAUCAUAGAAGAGAAAGUCACCUAAAGUUAAAUUUAGGGAAUAACGGAGAGAUACGAUACAAUUUCAUGCUAUAGCUAUUUAUGAAUCGACUGACAUAUGAUAAAUUUUAGCACAAAACAUGGUACGUUUAAAUGUUAGGGUAUGGUAAGUUGAGAAGUUGGGUUGGUUUUACUUUGAUGAUUAGAAUUUAAAACUGAACGCAAUCUGAAUAGGGAAUAUAUAUUUUACAGAGGCAGGCAGAUGUGUGAUGACGUUUCACGUUGAACAACAUCGUUCCUCAAAUUUAAACAGAGAAAAGGGGUUGUGGCAUUUAGAGGGAAAAUGCAUGCAUUAUAGCUUAGAGUUACUUUUCAAAAGCGGCCAGAAGUUCCAAAUACAUUUCUUUUAAAAGGAGAAGUAUCGUAAAGAUAGUCUGGAAAGAUGCUACAGUUUGCAACAGAAGUGCUAGGCACUCAAUGGGCUAUAUGGUGCAACACUUUGGACUAUAAAAUAGAUUUUAUGCACUACAGGUGAACUACAGGUGAAGUCACUCAAUCCAGUCCCAGAGGCUUGUUGGGGGGACCAUACCAAGGACUCCUGGUGACAGCUAGCUGAAAGAGCUACCCGGAUUCAUAUCGCACUGCGGGAGGGUAAGACACAUUGACACUGUCAAACAAUAACAGAAUUCGAGAGGAGAACUGGAAUUAACAGAAUUCUGGGGGCCAUCUCUCGAAUGAAAAAUACCUUACCUGUCCUUUCCUCACUGUUGUUGUUCAUAGAAGUGAAGAUGUGUCUGGCUCUUGCUAAGUGAUGUGUUCUCGGGGAGAGGGUGGGGCUUCACAUGGAAGCUGUUCGUCUGAGCUGUUUUAUCGUGGGUGACAUAUUCCUGAUACAGCACGUCCUACUUGAUUAUGCAGAGAGUGGUAAUUUGACCCAUGGUUUAGACGAUGAGGAUUUUGUUCCAAAAUAAGCAUAAGAGAUCCCUAGAUCUGGGUAGACAGGAAGUUAGAGUAGAGGUUGGGAAGGAUCUCUCAAUGGAGUUUUAUGUAGACCAAAAUGGAGUCUCUAACUACAUGACAGUCUAGGACUCUGAGCCAUUAUGGCAUAUAUCGGUGCAGGUUCCCAUAUUGAUCGUGGACACAGGUCAUAGCUCAUUUGGAGAGAGGGCUAUAUGAAUCCACUCGCCCAGUAUGGAAGAAGGUAGAGUAGAGUGAAGAUGAGAGUUUUUGAUUGUAAUCAGGAGAGAGGGAUGAAUUGCAUAAAGAUACGCUUAACCCUUUAAACAGAAAUGAAGGAGAAUCUAGGGUUGUAGUAUGGAUAUGACCAGGUCUUGGUCGACACCCUAGUACGGUUCUGGGUAGAGGAGUUUGGGCCGGUAUGGUAAAGCUGUUCACGAAAGCAGGAAUGCCAGAUAAUGACAGUUGUAUUGAUUUGCACUAUUUAAAUCCCCAGGUUCCUCCCUUUACAGUGACCGUAGGAGAUUAUUACCGUUUGGCCCGGUACAGUACUCUUGGGAAAUUAUGUCAGGGCGAGGUUUUACCAACAGAUUGGACAGGAUUAUGCUCCAUUGUAAUGCCUUUGACACUCAUUCAACACCAAGACAUGAAGUAUAGCCAAAUGGGAGAAAAGAGCUAUUCCAUCCGGGUCUCUUAUUGACUAAGUACACAUUGAUAACAUUGGGGUUCCAAGGGGGGUGCCAGAUGAGUCAAAGCAAGAAAUCAGAUCCUAGCAGGGUUAGAGUUAAGCAUUUCCGUGGGGUCUACUCUCAUAAGAACGUGGACUGGAUUAAUUAUAUUUAUGAUAAUCAACAGCGCUUUAACAAGUAUACCAGAGAUGCUAUUAAAGGUUUUGUAGAACAGACUGAAGUAACCAGCUGGAUGGCUUGGCAGAAUAGAAUUGCAUUAGAUAUGUUAAUGGCUGAAAAGGGAGAAGUAUGCGUGAUUAUCAGGACCAUGUUUGUGCUUACAUCCCAAAUAACACAGCUCCGGACGAAUCAGUGCCCGAAGCCUCAGCUGGUUUGACCACCCUGGCUCACGGGUUGGCAGAAACUCUGGGGUGGAUACUUCUCUGACUGAUUGGGUUUUGAUAGUACGUUUGGAAAAUGGAAAAAUGUUAUGAUCACUGUGUUAUGGGCUACAUUCACCUGUGUGACUGUUUUAGUUUUAGGGGGCUGUUGUCUAAUUCCCUGUGUAUGAGGCCUUGUUUCCAGAACUCUGGAGAAAAUGAUGACUCAGCAGAUGAUGAGAUAUGGGCCGAUUCCAGGUUCUGAACCGUGGAGGACUGAAUGUAUGACUACAGAACAAGUGGACGAAUCUGGAUCUUUUAUUUGUGGGGAAUUUAUAUUUGAUGAGACUAUUUUUGAGAUGAAGAGGAAUUAGAUUGUACUUUGUUUCAAUGAUUAGACUGUUUUUUAAUGAAGAUUGUAACGAAAAUCCUGAUAAGAAGAGUUAUGAUUCUGAUGUAGGUUUAAAAACAGUUGGAGUUAAGGUUAGAUUUGAUUAAUGAUGGGUGAAGAGUCUGAUAAACCUUCAUAAUAAGGUUAAUUAUAAGUAUUCGUAUGAUAAAUCUGAUAAACCUUUAUAAUAAGGUUAGUUAUAAGUUUGUUCAUAUUUUUGUUUUUUUAUGUUUGAUGAAAUUAUAUGUAGAUUUGAAUGUAUAAUAUUUAAUCAAAGGGAGGAUUGUUGGAGGAAAUUAUGGUUGAAAUGAUUAAUUAUGUAUACAUUUCAAUUAGAACCAUUUAUUCUAAUACUAUUAUGUUAUGGUAUGAAAUGUAUGGGUUCUUGGUUAAGCUGUUACUGAAAAUGUAAGUAAAACAAAUUAAUUGUCUGUACCUUGCGGGUUUAAGGGAGGGAGAAAAGUAUAUCUUUUAGACAGAUUGGAAUGUUUGUUUUAUGAGGGGAGUAGAAGAAGGUCUCCAGACCUGAAGACACUGCGCUAUUGUGGGGAUCGGAGAGAGUGUGUGAAACUGAUGAUGUCAUUUUAUGUUCUCUCUUUAUAAUGUAAUGUUCUUUGUAUAUUGGGUCAGUACUCAUCAAGAAUAAAUGCUGAACUUGUUUUUAA